rnacentral:rRNA from 1 species
CCGCGGGAUUAGAGUUUGAUCCUGGCUCAGAACGAACGCUGGCGGCAGGCUUAACACAUGCAAGUCGAACGCUCCUAGCAAUAGGGGAGUGGCAGACGGGUGAGUAACGCGUGGGAACAUACCCUCCGGUUCGGAAUAACUCAGGGAAACUUGAGCUAAUACCGGAUACGGCCUUUAGUCGAAGGAUUGGCGGCGAAAGAUUUAUCGCCGGAGGAUUGGCCCGCGUCCGAUUAGCUAGUUGGUGUGGUAAUGGCGCACCAAGGCGACGAUCGGUAGCUGGUCUGAGAGGAUGAUCAGCCACAUUGGGACUGAGACACGGCCCAAACUCCUACGGGAGGCAGCAGUGGGGAAUAUUGGACAAUGGGCGCAAGCCUGAUCCAGCCAUGCCGCGUGAGUGAUGACGGCCUUAGGGUUGUAAAGCUCUUUCGCUCGGGACGAUAAUGACGGUACCGAGAUAAGAAGCCCCGGCUAGCUUCGUGCCAGCAGCCGCGGUAAUACGAAGGGGGCUAGCGUUGUUCGGAAUUACUGGGCGUAAAGCGCGUGUAGGCGGGCUUUUAAGUCAGGGGUGAAAUGCCGAGGCUCAACCUCGGAACUGCCUUUGAUACUGGAAGUCUUGAGUCCGGGAGAGGUGAGUGGAACUGCGAGUGUAGAGGUGAAAUUCGUAGAUAUUCGCAAGAACACCAGUGGCGAAGGCGGCUCACUGGCCCGGAACUGACGCUGAGACGCGAAAGCGUGGGGAGCAAACAGGAUUAGAUACCCUGGUAGUCCACGCCGUAAACGAUGGAUGCUAGCCGUUGGGGAGCUUGCUCUUCAGUGGCGCCGCUAACGCAUUAAGCAUC